AUUCUGCUGACGAGUCCCAAAUAGAACGAAACAAGCGUCCGGAGU
rfam:Schistosoma haematobium scaffold738_11, whole genome shotgun sequence.